rnacentral:tRNA from 1 species
GUGUGCGUAAUUUAAAAAAAAUAUCAAGUUGUGACCUUGAAAAUAGAU